rnacentral:rRNA from 1 species
UACGUAGGUGACAAGCGUUGUCCGGAUUUACUGGGCGUAAAGAGCGCGCAGGCGGUCGAUCAAGUCGAGUGUGAAAGCCCCCCGGCUCAACUGGGGAGGGUCAUUCGAUACUGAUCGACUCGAAGGCAGGAGAGGGUAGUGGAAUUCCCGGUGUAGUGGUGAAAUGCGUAGAUAUCGGGAGGAACACCAGUGGCGAAGGCGACUACCUGGCCUGUUCUUGACGCUGAGGCGCGAAAGCUAGGGGAGCAAACAGG